GAGGCGGGAGGGGGCUUCAAGAGGGCAGCAGCAGCAGGGGGCCGGGGCUUCAAGGGGGCAGCCAUUUUUUUUAAACGGAGCAGCCAUCGGAGGAGGAGCCAUCGGAGGAGCAAUUUUUACAGUAAAUACGGCGGCAGAGUGUGGAAAGCGCGGGAGGGUCCUUCGUGAGGAAGUUAUGGUGAAAAAACCUGGUACCUAGACAGUUUUCAAUUCUGGAAAUCUGAAUACAUCCACCUCAGUCAGCUGCUCAAGGUUUUGAACUUGGAAUCUAUCCAUCUUAGUCAGCUGCUCUACUUUCUGGAUCUGGAAUGAGUGCACCUAUAACUCUUCGUUUCUUCAGUGACCCAUGAGGUUUACUAUCAAAGAUAUUAAGGAAACCAUCAAAGAAAUAUCAGAAACUAUACUCUCUGGGUCCACAUAGGAGCUUGGCUCCUCCUUUGUGCACAUUAUGUAUUUCUUCUGCCUCAUGUCUGUAACUACACUGUGUGAUAUCCUAUGACUAUUUGUCACUUCAUGAUAUAUGUAAAUAACAUGGCUGUUCUUACUAGCCCUUAUUAGAUGACAGUAAUAUAUGGAUUGAUUACACUAUUUAUUAUGUGUACCUAUUUUUCCACUGCAUUUGUGUGUUCUAUUAACACGGUUUUCUGAUUAAGAUUUCUUGAUUUUAUGUGUUCUCCCUUUUGUAUUGUGAACGUGCGCAUGAACAGGCUGGGGAGCAUGGAGUGUGGUGAUCUACUCUGGGGUGCGAACACUACAGAGAAGGGAUUGGGGGAGAGGGUUUUUUCCCUUUCUAUUUUUCAACCAGUAUAAUCAGGGCCACCCUAGAGCGGGGCCUCCUUUGGAUUUCCAACACCUUCUCUACCUGCGCCUGAGCAACUUCAAUUGGUGAUAAUUCUUCCUCCAUAUCUUGAGCCUGUGUUGCUCUUUGCAGUUCUUCCAGCUCAACUCCUGUGAAUACUUUAUUUCUUAUUAUGAAUCUUCUCUGGUCUGCUAGCCUUUGUUUUGUUAUUUCUGUAUCUGGAUGCUUCUCUUUCCAAAUUUGGUACAUUCUUUAUUAUUAUUAAUAAUAAUAAUAAUAUCACAGCCAAUUAUUUUGGGGGGCAAAUUGCCUCCACAUUCUAAGGCAGAGAAAGGCAACAUUGGCUUGCCAGCUGCUGUUGAACUGCAACUGCCACCAUCUCCAGACACCAUAAAUUGUAGCUCAGGAUGUUGGGAGUUAACGUUCAACACCAGCUGGAGAGCCAAGAUUUCAUACCCCUGAUCUGAGGGAUGAGGAGGGCUGCAGGUGGAGAACCAGGCCCACGUUCACUCCUCUCCCACCCCAUAGCAGUCUGUAGGUGUUGAGUGCUGAGCCCAAUAUAUCCUAAGGAACUGCAGGGAUGAGGGUGGGAGUAGAGGAGCAUUUCUCCAGAAACAGGAUGCCCUGUCCCCAAAAGCUGGCACCUUCAGUUCAAAGUCUGAUGAGCUCUUGUGGGAAAAGCACAUGACAUCAGUAAGUGCUGUUGCCAAACUGAUACUUUGAAAAGAGUGGUUUAAUGAUGGCUUAAAAACCUGUGAAAACCAUCAAACAGCAGGGCCCUGCCAAGCACCCCCUGCCGGGGGGAUCGCUUCCACCACUCACCUGGCUUCCGCAGAGCCAAUCCCCCGGUGGUGGUCAGUUCAGUGGUGGAGGUAAUUCCUCACCAUAGGGGCUGCUGGAUGGUGCCCUGAUGCUCAAAGCAGCAUUCAGGUGCAGUAGUAGCAGAGAUAAGCAUCUAUUUAUGUUACACUUAAAUGUGCCUCUGACCACCACCCCGGCAGCACCCCUACCGACCGCUACUGCUUCAAACCAGCAAUCCAUCUAGGGAGAACAAAUAAUGAGGCUUCAGCAAAGGAAGACAGGAGGGCUCUGAAUACCCCCAUGGAAGAGUCUUUCAAGUAUCCUUUGGGGUACUAGUAUUCCAGGGUCGGAACCUCUGAACUAGAGAAAAGCAGGGCAAGAAAGUACUAGAUGUACAAGAAUGUGAUGGAACCAUAUGCUGACUGACUUUCGGAGUUACUUUUGCAGAGACCAAAGCCAUUUGCACUCCUUGGCACUAUGGGACAGUUCCAGUCCGCUGAUGGGAAUCAAAGCUUGUAAAUUCCUGGCUUCAUUACAUCAGGUAGAGUUACCAAUCUUCAGACUGCUUUCCAAAGUUGGGCAACGUUGGCGUUCUCUGCCCUCUCCACAGGAAACACCAGUGGAGAAGCAAGGGAUAGUUUGAUAAGAAUUGUUGUCAGUAAUAUAAGAUUCCCAAAUACAUUGUCUCAUUCUUUAGCUACCUUCCUACUUCCAAACUUACUUCCAAUUCUCAGCACUCCUGGGUCUCAUUCCUGGCACUUGGUGGAGGGGAGGGGGAUGAUUGGGGGUAGGAAAAAUGGGUAGAAAUCUGAGGAUAGGGGGUUCCAGAUAACAAAUAUGGGGCAUAUGGGUUAAGUACUCACUGAAUCAUGAUCAAAAUAA